GCACUGCUGACGAGUCCCAUAAUAGGACGAAACGGCCGUCCAGUGU
rnacentral:hammerhead_ribozyme from 1 species